UACGUAGGGUGCGAGCGUUGUCCGGAAUUAUUGGGCGUAAAGAGCUCGUAGGCGGUGUGUCACGUCGGCCGUGAAAACCUGCAGCUUAACUGUGGGCGUGCGGUCGAUACGGGCAUCACUGGAGUUCGGCAGGGGAGACUGGAAUUCCUGGUGUAGCGGUGAAAUGCGCAGAUAUCAGGAGGAACACCGGUGGCGAAGGCGGGUCUCUGGGCCGACACUGACGCUGAGGAGCGAAAGCGUGGGGAGCAAACAGG
rnacentral:rRNA from 1 species